rnacentral:rRNA from 1 species
UCCCAGACUCCUACGGGAGGCAGCAGUGGGGAAUAUUGCACAAUGGGGGAAACCCUGAUGCAGCGACGCCGCGUGGGUGAAGAAGUAUUUCGGUAUGUAAAGCCCUAUCAGCAGGGAAGAAAAAUGACGGUACCUGACUAAGAAGCACCGGCUAAAUACGUGCCAGCAGCCGCGGUAAUACGUAUGGUGCAAGCGUUAUCCGGAUUUACUGGGUGUAAAGGGAGCGCAGGCGGCACGCUAAGCCUGAUGUGAAAACCCGCGGCCCAACCGCGGGAGUGCAUUGGGAACUGGCGGGCUGGAGUACCGGAGGGGCAGGCGGAAUUCCUAGUGUAGCGGUGAAAUGCGUAGAUAUUAGGAGGAACACCAGUGGCGAAGGCGGCCUGCUGGACGGAGACUGACGCUGAGGCUCGAAAGCGUGGGGAGCAAACAGGAUUAGAUACCCGUGUA